rnacentral:rRNA from 1 species
CUACAAGGGUAUCUAAUCCUGUUUGCUACCCACGCUUUCGCACCUCAGCGUCAGUAAUGGCCCAGUGAGUCGCCUUCGCCACUGAUGUUCCUUCAGAUCUCUACGCAUUUCACCGCUACACCUGAAAUUCCACUCACCUCUACCACACUCUAGCCUGCCAGUCUCAAAUGCCAUUCCCAGGUUGAGCCCGGGGAUUUCACAUCUGACUUAACAAACCGCCUACGCGCGCUUUACGCCCAGUAAUUCCGAUUAACGCUUGCACCCUCCGUAUUACCGCGGCUGCUGGCAC